AUUUGUCCCCCCCCCCCCCAAUAACAUGGAGAAGAAAAAGAUUGAUUUUGAAAUAUUUGACUCGCGAGCUUUUAUUUUGAAAGACACCGCGGACUUCUCUCCGACACAGCCCCUCCCCUCAGGGAGUUACAGGCUGGCUGAGUGAAGCAGGAGUCAGAGCCGGGGCAGACAGGUGUCAGAGAGAGACGGCAGCAGCUCAGCGAGUUCUUCUCAUGGGCAAAAAAAGAAAGAAAGGAAUUAGACCAGAGGAAGUUCAGCAGGAAAUGAUGAAGAAGGUGCGACAGGCAGCGCCAGACCUGCUGAGGGUGAGACAGGGAGAGCCAGACCUGCUGAGGUGCAGGUAGGUGCUACAGUGGAGUGAGAUUUUAGAUGGUUGAUGAUGAGAGGAAGAUUCGAGCAUGAUAACAAGUGAGCACGACUAAAUAAUACUAUAACAACCAUGAUUUUAAAGGAGACAUAACAUGAAAAACCCACUUUUUUAUCCAUUAACACGGUGUGUUUCACAUUUUAAGUGUCUAAGUGAGCAAAAAGGCUUAUAUUAUUCACUGGAGUUGCUAUUUAGAUAUUUAAUAAUUAAGUUUUGGGCAUAUUUGUCCACCCGUUCAGUUUUUACAUUAUCUAUUACAUCAGUAAUUAAUUUAGUGAGGAUAACUACCAAAUAUGGUAAUGGCCCUCGGCUAAACACAGAGCCAAUCCGCCAUUUUUUCUUCUCGCUAAGAUUUUUUGUAGUCCUAUUGGAAAAAUGCAGAAUGUCUGGUUAUUUUAGCCACACACAGCUCAAAACUGUUCCUCGUUUUAAGGAAGGGUGGUGUGGCAGUAUUUAAACCCAGGAGCUGAUGACACUGCUAAAAAAAACACAGAAGAAAAAGUAGUGUGUUUGCGUUUGUUUGUGUGUGUGUGUGUGCGUGCGCGCGCGCGCGCGUGGUUCGUUCGUUCUGUCUCCAGGCUAGUGGCCAAGUACUGAGGGCUUCAUCUAUCUAAAAGGAGUUAUUUCCAUCUGAAUUUGGCAGCACCGGGACACAGCAGCAGAGCGAGUCCACAUCCAGAAGACUGGAGCCGUGUUUCACUGACAGGCUGUCAGACUAACGCCCUGAUGAGCUCAGCUGGGACAAACUGGUCUGAUGUUUAGGAACACAGAACGUUCAGAUGUUGGCGUUUCACGUCACCUACUGAGGAAGGAGACCCACCAGUAAAGAGACGGUCUGGACCAGACCAAAAAUAUGGCGAUGACAUCAUGGAACUGGUCUUUGGAAAAGUUUUCCCUGAACCAACUCCGUUUCUAGAUUAGGUAGAGAAGAUCUGCAUCUCACCAACUCUCUGGUCUCAGUAUUCAGACAACGGAGGUCUCCCACUGUUAUCCAGGACCGGUUUGAAGCCCACAUACAGCCCCUCCCUCAUCAUCAGGAAACAUCAAUCCGUAUCCUGAGGACAACAGAAGACGGCAGGAGGACAGGAACUCUGAGACCUAGACACCACCAGCACCGAGACACAAAGCACCUGUGUGCACAACGCCUGUUUUAACUACUAAAGCCUGUUUAUUAUAUUGUUCUACUUAUUUGCUGUGAGGUUAAUACUUAGAAAAUUUGUAUAUUAAUGUAAACAAUAAAAAAAAUCACUGAUUGUAUGCUUUCUUUUAGAUGUAAUGGUCCAAACUCAGCCUUGUAGACAUUUAUUGCAUCCUGUAGGUAAAUACACAGAACAGGCUCAGAUCCAGGAUGACCCAGCAUGCUCUUCUUCCAUUCUGGCUGUUAGGGAUUGUAUCAAUAACUCAAUGCCUACUGAUGUUUUCACCUAACGGUAUUUAUUUAGAAUGCAGGUAAGAUUUAACUAUAUUUGUUAGCAAAGCAGACUGAUCUUGGGAAUUUCACUGCAGCACUGAUGUCCACCUCUCUGUACACAUUAGAGAGAAUUACCACUUUACAGCUAAACACAUUUAAUAAAGAUAUAGGCUACGCAUUGCAGACAAUAAAAACAAAGUUGUAAGCAUUAGAAUUAUAAUGAUGACAUUAAAGAACACUUGGAGGAAUGUUCUUUAUUUUUGACUAGAAUCUCAAAUCUUUAAAUUAAAAUCUAACUGCUUUUUAUCCAUUUUCAGCCAUUAAGACACCCAAUAUAAAAUAAGACUACUUAUAAAAUUAUUUAUAAUUAUAUGUAUGUAUAUAGAUAGAGAUCUUAAUAAAAUAUAUUCUUUGAA